UACGUAGGGUCCGAGCGUUGUCCGGAGUUACUGGGCGUAAAGCGCGCGCAGGUGGUUCACUAAGCCCGGCGUGAAAGCCCCCGGCUCAACCGGGGAGGGUCGUCGGGGACUGGUGAACUUGAGGGCGGCAGGGGCUGGUGGAAUCCCCGGUGUAGUGGUGAAAUGCGUAGAGAUCGGGGGGGAACACCCGUGGCGAAGGCGGCCAGCUGGGCCGUCCCUGACACUGAGGCGCGAAGGCGUGGGGGAGCAAACAGG
rnacentral:rRNA from 1 species